rnacentral:tRNA from 1 species
GGGGCCAUCGUUCAAUGGUAGGACACUUGUUUUGCAAGCAUGAGAUAUCGGUUCGAUUCCGGUUGGCUCCA